CGCCGCCGCCGCCGCCAAGCUUGAUAUCGAUGCCGCGAUUUCUCCGCUUCUUCUCUCUCGCCAGGUCAAAUCGAGAUCUCUUUAACUCUCACCAAGAUCUACCUCGCUAUCUCCCCGUGGACCGGAUUCAAAGGAGAAGAAGGCGAUCCAGAUUCAUCUCUGUCAAGCGAGGAGCUCUUAUGAGGCAUUUUUCCUAUAUCCAUUUCUCUACAUAUGCUGUUAUUCAUGUCUAUUGCUCCGUUUAUUUUUUCUUUUAUCGAUUUGCUUGGCUCAUCCACCUUCAGGAUCCAGAUCCGGGCAUCGUAUCCUGUAAACUCUCCGAUAAUGUCAUGUUUGAUAGAUCCAAUGAAGAGAUCGAGCGUCAAAUCGAGGAUCUAGAUCGCAAUGUUCCCGUGGAACGGCUUCCAAGGAGAAGAAGGCGAGAUCCACAUCGAGUCUGAUCUGGAAUCUGAGGAGUUUCCUUGGCUGCCAUCGGUAAAUUUGAGCAGAGGGAGCUCAAGCUGAAAGAAUUAAUCAGAUGAAGCUUCGAGAUCUCCAAACAGUUAUGCCAAUGAGUGCAUCUCUGCAGUAUAGGAAAUGCUCGUCAGUAUAGGUGUUACUCUGUUUUGCUGUAGUUGCCUUCAUAUUAUUUAAAUAGGCCUUCCGUUCAAUCUGAUCAACAAUUCAUGUAGUAAUAUAGAAGAACUAUGUUCCAGCUUAAUGUGUGAGAAACUAUAACUGUACAUGAAAA